rnacentral:rRNA from 1 species
GUCCACGCCGUAAACGAUGGAUACUAGCUGUUCGGAAGUAAUUCUGAGUGGCUAAGCGAAAGUGAUAAGUAUCCCACCUGGGGAGUACGGGCGCAAGCCUGAAACUCAAAGAAAUUGACGGGGGCCCGCACAAGCGGCGGAGCAUGCGGAUUAAUUCGAUGCAACGCGAAGAACCUUACCUGGGGCUUGACAUGUUCCCGACGACGCCAGAGAUGGCGUUUCCCUUUGGGGCGGGUUCACAGGUGGUGCAUGGUCGUCGU